CGAAUCCUAUAUGUACUAAGUAAUGGAUAUUUAACUAAAUUCUAUGACCAAUUCCUUUUCAUCAAUCUGUAUUUAAUUUUGAAAACAUCAACCGAUCGCUUCGGAUUAUAAUGAAGAUUGUCAAGAAUUUCAUUUUUCUUAAACAAGCUUGAAGGUGUCAGAAAUUUAAAAUCGUGUAAAUUUUAUUGUUAAAGGUGUAUUGGAAAUCAUGUGGUUAUCAAAUUAGAAGCAUUUAAACUUUUAAAGUUAUCCAAGUUCACUGUUAUAGGUACUAUGAUUUUGAUUUAAAUGUACAUUUUAAUUUAAAUGUUAUCCUUAUUUUACAUAAUAACCCACUGUUUUUUUUUACUUUUGUAUCAAGAAUGUAUACCGUUUGUAUCAAGGGUAGGCCCAAAUACUGUAGGUAUAUCAUGCGCGGAUCUAGAUGAUGGGUUUGGGGGUGGGUCUGUGCCCUUCUCCGGGAAAAAUUCAAAUUUUUGAAAUUCACAGUAAAUUACAGCAAACACAGUUAUCAUUCGGAAGUAUCCUUAAAAUAUUCUGAAUCCGCUCAUGUAUCAAUGAUAACGAAAAAUCAUUUGAUUUGAACAUAAUAUAUAUUUUGAUUGUAUUAUUUAAUUUAUGAAAAAUCAAACUUAUUUACUUGGAUGUGUUUUGAUUUAAAUUAGUUAUGUGUGCAAAUAGUUUGUGUUAUUAUAAACUUAUAACGUUUUUUAAUAUAUAUUUUAUAUUUAUUAUACACAUGUACAUGUAUUUUAAUAUUUUAUAUCAUUGUCAUAUAGUCAUUAUUAAUAUUUUUUCAUAUGCAUGUAUACCAUGUUUCAAUGUGCCAAUAUCUAUGAAAUACAAAUAGUUAUCUAGUUAAAUAAAUUUAUUGUGAAGAGAG
rnacentral:sRNA from 1 species